UCAAAAAGCGGUGCCGCCAUUUGCAUGACGGCCGUCAUGUUGGUGUCAGAUGGUUUAUUUUAAUACGUAUUUGUGUUUUUUACGUACAAAAUGAGUUCCAUCUCUUGGAGCAGCGAGGACGACGAAGUUUUGAUAGAUUUUGUACGUAACCAUGAAGCUAUAUAAAAUAUAAAAAGUAAAGAAUACAGAAAAACUCAAUUAAAUCAGAAUUGGUGGCGUGAAAUUGGAGAAAUUUUGAAUAAAUCAGAUUCCGAUUGCUCCAAGAGAUGGUGUUACAUACGAGACUAUUAUAUUCGACGUAUAGGAAAACCAGGUUCUGGUUCAAGCGGAGAAACAGCAAAGAAAAGAUCUGAUCUCCUGUCAUUCUUGGACAGCCUUCAUUUUUCCCAAAGAGGCAGUAUUACUAAUGUUGUAGAUGAAAACCCAGGAGAUAAUAGUGUGAUAAUAGAAGACACUCAUGACAUCACUGAAGGAAUACAAACCCCGGAAGACGGAACUAUAAUAAUGGAAAAUACUCACAACAGCGAAGAAACACAAUCAAACACUCAGAAAAUAUAAAAUAAAAAUGAUAAUACA